CCACCGCCAGCCAUUUCAUUUCAAUUGUUCCUUUCUUUUUCUUUCUUGUUCUGUUUUGCUCGGGGGAAAAUGAAGAAGAAACAGAGGGAGGGAGGGAGGGAGAGAGAGAAGAGAGAGGCUGGUUCGAGAGGAAGAGAGGGAGAGAGAGUUUGAGAGCUCGAGAUGGAGCUCAUGGAUGAGGGGGGCAGAAGAGAACGAGACUUGAUGAAGACGGGUGAAUAGAAUAGAGCUGGGAAGUGUUGAUACAGAGCUGAAACAGGGGUGCGACUGCAGAGGUGAAAUUCUGCAGAAACAGAUAAGUGAAGGGGUGCUUCGGGAGUCGAUCGGAAGGAUGUGGCAAGGAACUUUGGGGUGCAAAUAAUACUUUUGCUGAUAAAGAAUGGUGAAGGGGUUGACAGAGUGGUGGAUGGGUGCCAAGAGGGUGGAACUCCAGAAUAAGAUUCAAUUUAAUCGCUGCUGAUUGAUUGUUAAUCACAACGAUAAUCUCGAUUCCAAACUAGUUGGGGUCUUUCCCCACUUCCCACCCGAAUGUAGUGUUGCAGAUGCAGAUAUAAUGUUAAUCUAGUUCGAGAGUCUGCAUUAGGAUGCUACCUGAACUUGUGUACUGUCAGGAAACCACACGCAACAUAUUAUGUUUGUAAUAAAGUUCAGAAAGGCUGUUUCGGUUUGUAACAAGAGGUUUCUUCGAAAUGUCCCAUGAUUACGCGCAAAAA